AUCAAACCCACCUCUGGAACACCCCUCACCUCCUACCCCACAUCCCAAACCUUAACACGAUGGCCACACCAACUGCCACCGGCACCGAGCUCUCGACACCACACCCCGCGGCAGGACCUGCCCCAGCAAAGCCCGUGUUCUCCCGGCUCAGUCCCCCACGGUCGGUUACAGAGAUCUGUGUUAGAAAAACAGCCAGAGCGUUUGCACUGAGUUGUAGCCUCAGCCAAAAUCACUAAAUGAGCCCCCAUAUCGCUAAGUGCACCCUAAAAUCAUCAAGAUCUGAAGCAGCCAUCUGAGCCCAGAAAGCUGGAGACAUCUCAGCAGCAGCCAGAGCAGACUCGAUGCCACUCAAGGGGUGCCAUCACCCCGCUCACAGCCCCGUUUUUUGUAGGUUAAAGAGGAGCCGGGAGGCCACAGCA